rnacentral:rRNA from 1 species
ACAUCGCCUUUUGCAACUUAUAAAAGGUCCAGCCUGCCCAGUGACUUGUUCAACGGCCGCGGUAUCCUAACCGCGCGAAGGUAGCGUAAUCACUUGUUUUCUAAAUCAAGACUAGUAUGAACGGCACCACGAGGAUCUAACUCGUCUCCUUUUUUUUAUCCGUGAAACUAAUCUCCCCGUGAAGAAGCGGGGAUUUAUAUAUAAGACGAGAAGACCCUAUGGAGCUUUAAACGAUAGGCCACACACUAGACAAAUCUACCAUUUUGGCCCUAUGUUUUAGGUUGGGGUGACCCAGGAGAAAAACUUACCCUCCUGACUGAUACGGAAUUUUUCCUUAGCAAAAAAUUACACUUUUAAGCACCAACAAAUUGACACUCAUUGACCCAGUUUCCUGAUCAACGAACCAAGUUACCCUAGGGAUAACAGCGCAAUCUGCUUCAAGAGUCCCUAUCGACAAGCGGGUUUACGACCUCGAUGUUGGAUCAAGAUAUCCCAGUGGUGCAGCCUCUACUAAUGGUUCGUUUGUUCAACGAUUAAAAUCUUACGUGAU